rnacentral:piRNA from 1 species
CCUGAUUGAAGAUCCCAAGUAGAGA